GCAAACAAGCGGCUAUCAUAGUGAUAUGGUCGUGGAAGUAAUCAAAUCGAUAGAUGGUUUCAAAAAAUUCCCAGAGCUCCAUGCGCGCGCUUUGCAUCGUGGGAGGUUAUUAUCAUGGGGAAGGGAGAAUGGACCUUUUUCACUUCGAAAGAGCGCCACUAGCUGUGAAUGUCCAAAACACGAUUGGGGGCUCUCCGCCGAUCCGCUUCUGCGUGCGUAACGCCGGAUCGCUUUCCGCAAUACUGCUAUCGGCCAGCAUCGCCCUUAUUUUGACAGUCUCGGGCUGCAAAUUUUGUUUGCUGCUGUUCCUUUGCUUUUUUGUAGCUUCGCGUAAAUGUUUUCGGUGGAUGAGCUGAAGGAAUUUCUGGGUACGGGUAAUGAGUGGACCAGCGAUUUAACCUGCGUGCCGACGGUUUGCGAAGACACCAUCGAUGCCCACUUCGUCGCGUCCAAUCGGCAGCUCAACAAGGGAUGGAUAUUCAAGGAGGAGAAGUACAUCCGGCGGAUUGAAUGCUCCGUGCUUCGGGGGACCGACCUGCUAGUGCUUAGGAGCAUAUGCCUUUGCUCCAUGAGGUCCGGGCACUACAAACAAGUCGUGGUUGUCAAGGUGGAUGUCUCAGCUGCUGUUGUACAGGCGCACUGCGACUGUGUUGCUGGGUUGAGCCAAAGAUGUCAGCAUGUAGCCGGCCUCCUUUUUGCAGUCCGGAGUAUCCAAUCUCCGUCGUGCACCGAUAUGCCAUGCAGAUGGAUAGCACCGACACAAGGACAGAACAAUCUACCAAUGCAGCCACUGCAGGACAUCACAUUUAAAAAGCACGUCGUCAACAAGGUGGUACCAGCAAAACCAAAGCAGCAUUCGACGACUGGGUUUUUUGUACACUACAGGGCCCGGAUAUGUGUCGUUUCAGAAGUACAAGGAUGGGUUUUAUUUUGUUACUGAACAGGAUGGGGCAUUCAGGUUUAAACUGAGAAAAUUGGAAUAAAUGAAGCUCAU